rnacentral:rRNA from 1 species
AUUGAACGCUAGCGGCAGGCCUAACACAUGCAAGUCGAACGAGUGGCGGACGGGUGAGUAAUGUAUGGGAAAGUGCCUGGUGGCGGGGGAUAACUACUCGAAACGGUAGCUAAUACCGCAUACAAUCAGAUGUGCCCAGAUGGGAUUAGCUAGUUGGGGGGGUAACGGCUCACCAAGGCAACGAUCCGUAUCUGGUUUGAGAGGAUGACCAGACACACUGGAACUGAGACACGGCCCAGACUCCUACGGGAGGCAGCAGUGGGGAAUAUUGCACAAUGGGCGCAAGCCUGAUGCAGCCAUGCCGCGUGUAUGAUGAAGGCCUUCGGGUUGUAAAGUACGUUCAGCGGGGAGGCGGUACCCGCAGAAGAAGCACCGGCUAACUCCGUGCCAGCAGCCGCGGUAAUAC